UACAGAGGUCCCAAGCGUUGUUCGGAUUCACUGGGCGUAAAGGGUGCGUAGGUGGUGAGGUAAGUCGGAUGUGAAAUCUCCGAGCUCAACUCGGAAACUGCAUUGGAAACUACCUUGCUCGAGGGUUGGAGGGGGGACUGGAAUGCUUGGUGUAGCAGUGAAAUGCGUAGAUAUCGGGAGGAACACCAGUGGCGAAGGCGGAGACCUGGGCCAAUACUGACGCUGAGGUGCGAAAGCGUGGGGAGCAAACAGGG
rnacentral:rRNA from 1 species